ACGUAGACUUGGUCCAACAAUCUCAUGGUCCGGAAGUGCGGGAUUCAAUUGUCUUGUCCAACAACUGCUAAAUGAGCACGGGCUCAACCCAACAAACUGCCAAAGGGCCCCCAAAAGGGAAAACUGAUAAGUAGCCAGAAAUAUUUUCCCCUGUUUUGAUUUCAUUGAUUCAGUCGCGGCUUUCGAAAAGACUAGUCAUCCCGGACGAGCUGUCCACGUGAGAUGGGUUGUGUACCAUCACAGAUAUCGCCACAUAAGCUAUUAUCAACCAAGCUUGUGGAGCCGAACUGGGAUAAGAUUGAAACUGAUCUUCAUUCUGCUGUAAAGGGUAUUGGUACUGAUGAAGAUGUUAUAAUUAAGACAUUAGCAUCCUUGAGAAACACAGAAAGGCAGGAGUUGACUGUAGUAUACCAAAGAAAAUAUGGCAAGGAUCUGAGGUCUGUUCUUGAGUCAGAGCUGAGUUUUGGCCAUCAGGACACAGUGCCAUAUAUGACAGCAUCUCACUGAACGAUGCAAUCAAAGACCAGGAUCAUGAUUCACUUAUAGAGAUCAUCUGUUCUAGAACACCAGAACAAUUGAGAGAAAUGACAAGAGCAUAUGAAAAAGAGUAUUCCACAAAACUCGAUGAAGAUAUUAAGUCACUUGACAGUGAUUUUCAGGAGAUUCUUUGCAAGUUUUGCUUUUCAACAAAAGAAUCUCUGAGAUGCCCGGCAGAUCGCCUGGCAGCACAGGAGUGUGCAAGUCAGUUAUCUAGACAUGAAGUGAAGCUGGUAAGAAGUCAGCUUAAAGCAACUUUUAAAGAAUUGGAGGCAUUAAGAGAGAAUUCAAUGGACGAUUUUAUUGAAGUGCAGUACAAGAAUAAAAGCAAUGUAUUCCGGGAGUUGCUGAAGGCUUAUGGUGGAUUUAUACUAUAUCUAGAAGGAGUACUUGGCAAGGUACAACCAGAGACUGUCUGAAGCAAUCCAUGAACACAGUGCUCCCUUUUACUCUAAGCCGCUAAGGACAAUACUAGAUAUGUGGAACACACACAAGAUCUGCGGUGAGAGAGUAGCUUCGUUGCCAACGAAUAACAUAUUUAUAUAAAAACCAGAAACUAUUCUAAAAAAGAGAGGUAAGCUAUUAAAUAAGACGUAGGCUAUUACUGAUGCUGUGUUUUGAUUGCUUAAGCUUCAAUAGCAUAGUAGAAAAAAAAUUUAAGAGUCUAGUUACUUAGGUAUUUUAACUGCCUAUUUAUGUAGUUUUAGGUAUAGCAUCCUGAAUCAAUAAAAUAGUGCCUAAUUAAUACUAUAUAAUUAUUUUGAGUCCCCUAAGGUAAUUAAAUUUUACCCACACAACUAUCCCUUUUCCCUUCAUUGGCAUGACUCACUAGCCCAAAGGGUCAGGAUUGAUUAGAGAUAAAUAAAUAUUUUUAUUGUAUAUAUAACAAGACAAGUAAAAAAUGAUUUUAUUUUCAACCAGCCAAGUUUUUCCACACAACAUAAGUUUUUCCACACUUUUUAUAUUAAACCAUAUUACUCCAGUGAGUAUAUAUACACCUAUUUACAUAUAUACAAGUUAUAAUAAAGGCGACGAUUUAAACAAAAAUUAUUCAGUCGAAUCUUGAUUUAACGAAGUGCCAAGGGACUGGGGAAAUCUGUUAAAAAAUUGAGGGUUUGUUAUAUUGAGGUUCUGAUCCAUUCGUUUUACUGUUAUUUUGUCCCAGAUGAAAUAAGGAAAUUGUUCGUUAUACCGAGGACUUCAUUAAAGAGGACUUUGUAAAAUCGAGGUUGUACAUUACCUUGAGUUAUGCAAGUGUUAUUUUGUUUCCAGUGUAUGUUACAGCUUAAAUUGUUAUUGUGCGGCCUACCAGAUUCCAAAAUUCCAUUUUUCACUUCCAUUCUUCAUUUAGAAAGGGAGAAGUUAAUCAAACCAGUUAAAGAAAGGAGAUAUGGAUUCUGGGAUGAGGUAGUGAAACAACGAUAUAUCGGCCAUAACUGCAACAUGAGAGACUAUUCAGACUAAUCCUCCCUGCCUAUUGUAACCCCCCCUACCCAACACUUAACGACAAUCAUUCACAAAAGAAUGUUCCUUUUUCCCAAUACAAAUCCCUUUAAAAGUUUCAGCUUCAAUAAUCUACUCGUUUUAUCUACAACCAGCAGUCAUAAAGAAAUUUCUUAGCGAAAGCCAACACACAAUAUUCAUAUCCUCUCUAACAUUAAUCUAACAUAAUCUACUCAUUUUAUCUACAACUGGCAGUCAUAAAGGAAUUCCUUUGCAAAAAGCCAACACACAAUAUUCAUACCUUCUCUAACAUUUAAGUAAAUAAAACAUGUUCAAUAGUUUAGUUUAGAACACAGCUACCUGCAUUGCAGAAGAUAUUGUACUAAAAAAACAAGGGAAAGUAGACAAGGCUGCCAAAUAACUCCCUCUGCCUUUGAUCGCAUCCGUGCUUUAGAAA